CAGCAGCCGCGGUAAUACAGAGGGUGCGAGCGUUAAUCGGAUUUACUGGGCGUAAAGCGUGCGUAGGCGGCUUUUUAAGUCGGAUGUGAAAUCCAUGAGCUUAACUUAGGAAUUGCAUUCGAUACUGGGAAGCUAGAGUAUGGGAGAGGAUGGUAGAAUUCCAGGUGUAGCGGUGAAAUGCGUAGAGAUCUGGAGGAAUACCGAUGGCGAAGGCAGCCAUCUGGCCUAAUACUGACGCUGAGGUACGAAAGCAUGGGGAGCAAACAGGAUUAGAUACCCGUGUAGUCCCUGUCUCUUAUAC
rnacentral:rRNA from 1 species